rnacentral:rRNA from 1 species
GAUCAUGGCUCAGGAUGAACGCUAGCUACAGGCUUAACACAUGCAAGUCGAGGGGCAGCAUUUCAUUUUGCUUGCAAAGUGAAGAUGGCGACCGGCGCACGGGUGAGUAACACGUAUCCAACCUGCCGAUAACUCGGGGAUAGCCUUUCGAAAGAAAGAUUAAUAUCCGAUGGUAUAUCAAUCCCGCAUGAGAUUGAUAUUAAAGAAUUUCGGUUAUCGAUGGGGAUGCG